GAUGAACGCUGGCGGCGUGCCUAAUACAUGCAAGUCGAGCGAACGGACGAGAAGCUUGCUUCUCUGAUGUUAGCGGCGGACGGGUGAGUAACACGUGGAUAACCUACCUAUAAGACUGGGAUAACUUCGGGAAACCGGAGCUAAUACCGGAUAAUAUUUUGAACCGCAUGGUUCAAAAGUGAAAGACGGUCUUGCUGUCACUUAUAGAUGGAUCCGCGCUGCAUUAGCUAGUUGGUAAGGUAACGGCUUACCAAGGCAACGAUGCAUAGCCGACCUGAGAGGGUGAUCGGCCACACUGGAACUGAGACACGGUCCAGACUCCUACGGGAGGCAGCAGUAGGGAAUCUUCCGCAAUGGGCGAAAGCCUGACGGAGCAACGCCGCGUGAGUGAUGAAGGUCUUCGGAUCGUAAAACUCUGUUAUUAGGGAAGAACAUAUGUGUAAGUAACUGUGCACAUCUUGACGGUACCUAAUCAGAAAGCCACGGCUAACUACGUGCCAGCAGCCGCGGUAAUACGUAGGUGGCAAGCGUUAUCCGGAAUUAUUGGGCGUAAAGCGCGCGUAGGCGGUUUUUUAAGUCUGAUGUGAAAGCCCACGGCUCAACCGUGGAGGGUCAUUGGAAACUGGAAAACUUGAGUGCAGAAGAGGAAAGUGGAAUUCCAUGUGUAGCGGUGAAAUGCGCAGAGAUAUGGAGGAACACCAGUGGCGAAGGCGACUUUCUGGUCUGUAACUGACGCUGAUGUGCGAAAGCGUGGGGAUCAAACAGGAUUAGAUACCCUGGUAGUCCACGCCGUAAACGAUGAGUGCUAAGUGUUAGGGGGUUUCCGCCCCUUAGUGCUGCAGCUAACGCAUUAAGCACUCCGCCUGGGGAGUACGACCGCAAGGUUGAAACUCAAAGGAAUUGACGGGGACCCGCACAAGCGGUGGAGCAUGUGGUUUAAUUCGAAGCAACGCGAAGAACCUUACCAAAUCUUGACAUCCUUUGACAACUCUAGAGAUAGAGCCUUCCCCUUCGGGGGACAAAGUGACAGGUGGUGCAUGGUUGUCGUCAGCUCGUGUCGUGAGAUGUUGGGUUAAGUCCCGCAACGAGCGCAACCCUUAAGCUUAGUUGCCAUCAUUAAGUUGGGCACUCUAAGUUGACUGCCGGUGACAAACCGGAGGAAGGUGGGGAUGACGUCAAAUCAUCAUGCCCCUUAUGAUUUGGGCUACACACGUGCUACAAUGGACAAUACAAAGGGCAGCGAAACCGCGAGGUCAAGCAAAUCCCAUAAAGUUGUUCUCAGUUCGGAUUGUAGUCUGCAACUCGACUGCAUGAAGCUGGAAUCGCUAGUAAUCGUAGAUCAGCAUGCUACGGUGAAUACGUUCCCGGGUCU
rnacentral:rRNA from 1 species